UUUUCUGUCGCCAACCACCAGAACGAUUUACAACUAAAGGAGUCCAACCAAUACACUGACUCCCGAUGUUGUGUUCCAAAACUUGGGGAAAAAAACACUGGUUAGUAUAAUGUAACGCUAAUGUUAAACUCCUCUACACUUGUUGCCUAUCCAUCCAUCUACCUCACAAUGCUUAUAACUUACGUUAUGGGUGUGCCAAGGCCUGUAAAGGGGCCCUGACCAGCUAAAUUCCGCCGUUGUUUUGAGAUACUAGAUACUAUAUAUAUUAGAUACUAACCUAGCUACCGUCAACGGGUACUGGCUAACUAUAUAGUGUAACGACCCUGGGUUUAUAAACGCGGAUUUCGCGCUUUUGGGACACAGUCGAUAGCGCGCUGGACUUCAGCUAGAAGGUCGUGGGAUCGAGACCUGCUCCAUUACAAUAGUUAAAGAUUUGUAGUUAAGAACGCUGCUAACGAGUAUGAGACGCCUGCGGUCCCAGCUGUCCACCACAAACACCAGGAUCUCCGUGCCCAGGCAGUGGUGCUUCCGGUGGGGCCUCAUCCUCUGCUGGCCUACCACGUCCCACAUGGCCAACCCCAGACCCCUUGCCUCCGUCUCCAGCAUCUCUACUCGCUGUACUUGAGCGUGUAGAGCAGGGUGGACUUCCCCGAGCCGUCCAGGCCCAGCAUCACAACCUGAGCCUGCUGAGCAUGCUUAGACCCAUGCAGUCCCAUGCUCAACCCAAACACAGGUCCUGUUGUCUGGAGAAGAAGGCUGGCUUGUGUUAUUGUUGCUGCCUCAGCUCUGUGCAGCAAUGCCCUUCCCUGCCCUGCCUGCAGUUACUUUGUGCUCUGCUCUGCCAUCUCACAGUACAUCCAACUGGCCCCAAGACCGCAGACCACAUGUAACCAGCCCAGGACUUCCAGAUCCGUCACCUGCGGGAUCGUCAGAGCGCGGGG